UACGUAGGGUGCAAGCGUUGUCCGGAAUUAUUGGGCGUAAAGAGCUCGUAGGCGGUUUGUCGCGUCUGCUGUGAAAACCCGAGGCUCAACCUCGGGCCUGCAGUGGGUACGGGCAGACUAGAGUGCGGUAGGGGAGAUUGGAAUUCCUGGUGUAGCGGUGGAAUGCGCAGAUAUCAGGAGGAACACCAACAGCGAAGGCAGAUCUCUGGGACGUUACUGACGCUGAGACGCGAAAGUGUGGGGAGCGAACAGG
rnacentral:rRNA from 1 species